GACGAACGCUGGCGGCGUGCUUAACACAUGCAAGUCGAACGGAAAGGCCCUGCUUUUGUGGGGUGCUCGAGUGGCGAACGGGUGAGUAACACGUGAGUAACCUGCCCUUGACUUUGGGAUAACUUCAGGAAAAUGGGGCUAAUACCGGAUAGGAGCUCCUGCUGCAUGGUGGGGGUUGGAAAGUUUCGGCGGUUGGGGCUGGACUCGCGGCUUCUCAGCUUGUUGGUGGGGUAGCGGCUUACCAAGGCUUUGACGGGUAGCCGGCCUGAGAGGGUGACCGGCCACAUGGGGACUGAGAUACGGCCCAGACUGCUACGGGAGGCAGCAGUGGGGAAUAUUGCACAAUGGGCGGAAGCCUGAUGCAGCAACUCCGCGUGCGGGAUGACGGCCUACGAGUUGUAAACCGCUUUCGCCUGUGACGAAGCGUGAGUGACGGUAAUGGGUAAAGAAGCACCGGCUAACUACGUG
rnacentral:rRNA from 1 species